rnacentral:rRNA from 1 species
UACAGAGGCCUCGAGCGUUAGGCGGAAUCACUGGGCUUAAAGCGUGUGUAGGCGGACUUCUAAGUCCCUUGUGAAAUCCCACGGCUUACCCGUGGAACUGCUGGGUAUACUGGUUGUCUUGAGCCACUUAGGGGCUACCGGAACAAAUGGUGGAGCGGUGAAAUGCGUAGAUAUCAUGUGGAACGCCAAUGGUGAAAACAGGUAGCUGGGAGUGUGCUGACGCUGAGACGCGAAAGCCAGGGGAGCGAACGGG